AUAUAUGUAGGACUUAAAUCUAUGGUGGGUUCCAAAUCUAUGGCAGAUUCCUAAUCUAUGGUAAAUGUGACGUCAUGCCAUCCCAAAUCUAUGGCAAGUUUGGUAGUUUCCUAAUCUACGGCGGAUUUAUGUUGUUUCCAAAUCUAUGGCAAGUUUUGUUCAAAUGGAAAACAAUGCAGUACAUUUUCGACCAAUGACUUGUCUUAAGCAAGAGGAAAAAUACGACAACGGGAGCCGAAAAAAAUUGUGAAAUAUACAUUCCAUAAUGGUCAACCAAAAACGAAUCAUAAAUGAUAAAUUCAUAUAUAGAUAUAGGAAGAUGUGGUGUGAGUGCCAAUGAGACAACUCUCCAUCAAAACAACAAUUUAAAAAAGGUAAAUCAUUAUAGGUCAAUGUACGGCCUUCAACACGGAGCCUUGGCUCACAUUGAACAACAAGCCAUAAAGGGCCCC
rnacentral:lncRNA from 1 species